rnacentral:misc_RNA from 1 species
AGCGCGUUCAUCUACUGAAGCAGAAUAUCCCUCCAUUGGUGCUGCAGCUGCUGAACUAACUUGGAUUCAAACUCUGCUUUGUGAGUUGUCCAUUUUAUCUACACAAAUUCCUACUCUGUGGUGCGAUAAUGUAGGUGCCACCUACCUCACAACUAAUCCCAUCUUCCAUUGCCGCAUGAAACACGUUGAAGUGGACUAUCAUUUUGUGUGAGACACGGUGGCUAAUAAAGACCUGCAAGUUUGCUACAUAUCUUCUAAGGAUCAAG